rnacentral:rRNA from 1 species
AGUAAAAGUCGUAACAAGGUUUCCGUAGGUGAACCUGCGGAAGGAUCAUUAACGAAUAACUAUGGUGUCUUGGUUGUAGCUGGCUCCUCGGAGCAAUGUGCACGCCCGCCAUUUUUAUCUUUCCACCUGUGCACCGACUGUAGGUCUGGAUGACUCUCGUACUCCGGUGCGGAUGCGAGGAUUGCUCUCGGGCUCUCCUCGAAUUUCCAGACUCUACGCCUUUUUACACACCCCAAACGUAUGAUACAGAAUGUAGUCAAUGGGCUUGAUCGCCUAUAAAACACUAUACAACUUUCAGCAACGGAUCUCUUGGCUCUCGCAUCGAUGAAGAACGCAGCGAAAUGCGAUAAGUAAUGUGAAUUGCAGAAUUCAGUGAAUCAUCGAAUCUUUGAACGCACCUUGCGCUCCUUGGUAUUCCGAAGAGCAUGCCUGUUUGAGUGUCAUUAAAUUCUCAACCUCACCCGUUUUCUGAACGGUACCCGAGGCUUGGAUGUGGGGGUUUGUGCAGGCUGCCUCAGCGCAGGUCUGCUCCCCUGAAAUGCAUUAGCGAGUUCAUACUGAACCUCCGUCUAUUGGUGUGAUAAUUAUCUACGCCGUGGACUGGGUUUAGACUCGCUUCUAACCGUCCGCAAGGACAAUACCUUUGACAAUUUGACCUCAAAUCAGGUAGGACUACCCGCUGAACUUAAGCAUAUCAAUAAGCGGAGGA